rnacentral:rRNA from 1 species
GAUGAACGCUGGCGGCGUGCUUAACACAUGCAAGUCGAACGGAAAGGCCCAAGCUUGCUUGGGUACUCGAGUGGCGAACGGGUGAGUAACACGUGGGUAACCUGCCCUGCACUUCGGGAUAAGCCUGGGAAACUGGGGCUAAUACCGGAUAGGAGCACCUUCUGCAUGGUGGGGUUGAGAGUUUUUCGGUGGGGGAUGAACUAGCGGCUUAUAAUCUUGUUGUUGGGGUAAUGGCUUACCACGGCGUCGUCGGGUGGCCGGCCUGAGGGGAGGACCGGCAACAUUGGGACGGAGAUAGGGCCCAGACUCCUAGGGGAGGCAGCAGUGGGGAUAAUUCCACAAGGGGGCGAAGCCGGUGGAAGGAAGGCGGGGGGCGGGUGGCCGGCUUUCGGUUGUAAAAUCGUUUCGCUAUGUAAGGAACCUUAUGUGACGGUACCGGGUGAAGAAGCACCGGCUAACUACGUG